ACCUCUCCUUUUUGUUGGAGAUCUAAGAGCCCUAGAUGUUCUCAUCAAACUCAGACAAGAUUCAUAGGAUACUCCUAGUUAAAAAUGUGUCACAGGUCAGAAAAUGAUGAGAACCACUUCCCUAAGCUAGGCUACCUACUUCUCAGCAUUUCGACACAACUUUUUGUUAGAUCAGAUCAAUACCUGCAGAUAAAUGUUUUGUACAUGUUUGUACUUUGUGCUUUCAAAAUGUUUUAUGGCCUCUGUUGAUGUCAGUGUGUGAGUAUCAAAGUUUGAUGACUUGUGCUCUUAAUGUGGUGCAGACCUGUUCAGCUACUUAGUGAGAGGAAGACAGGAAGGGGAAAGAGAUUCAAUUGUGUUUAAUAUUUAUAGACAGAGCCUGGAUCAGGUACAUUCAUUUUGUUUGGCUUUGGGAACAACAGUCAGUGAUUGGCUGAAGGUUCUGAACAGUGAAGAAACGGCAGUUAACUGUCAGUUGGGAGAAGUAAUGAGUGAGGUGUGAGGCAAAGACAAGAGAAAGCUGAGGUGAAAGCAGACAAAUAAGGCUUAAGCUCCCUAAACCCAGUUUGUUAACAAUAUUUUUUUGGCGAAGAUUAGAACAAGUGAGCUGGUGUGUAUUUUAGGCUAAGAAGCUGCCCAGUUCUUAGCAGAAAAAUGCCAUAAAAGCAGAUUUCUUAAAUGAGCUCAACUGUCCAAGCAGCCAGAAAUAGGAUCUGUGGAGCUUUGCAGGCCAAAAGCAGAUGGUACCUAGCAGUUGAAUCAAUUUUGUUGUGCCAAAGAACUACCAGCAUAUUCUGGCCUUGGUAUUUGCUGUCAAGGAGAUCAAUGAGAACCCCAAGAUCUUGCCUAAUAUUACAAUGGGAUUCCAUAUCUAUGACAGUUACUUCAAUCAAAGGAUGACCUACCAGGCUGCUCUGAACCUUCCAUCAACACUUAUACCCAACUACAAGUGUGACACUCAGAAACAUCUGAUGGUAGUUAUUGGGGGACUUGACAUGGAUUCCUCCCUUCAAAUGGCAGACAUACUGGGCAUCUACAAGAUUCCUCAGAGGAGCAGGCCAGUGGAACCUGCACUGGAGAGGAGAAGCUGGAAGAACUAAUUUCAUCUGCUUUUGAGAUGAGCAUGUCUGGUCACAGCUACAGUGUCUAUAAUGCCGUCUAUGCCACAGCACAUGCUCUACAUGGAAUGCUCUUGCCCAGGACAAAAUAUAGGAGAGUGGUGGAAGG